rnacentral:sRNA from 1 species
GGAAGCGGGUGAGCGAGAUGCCUGCAGCCAAGCGGUUGCGGCUGGACGCGGGACCCCAGAGCCUGUCCGGGAAGUCGACACCCCAGCCGCCAUCGGGCAAGACAACACCCAGCAGCGGGUGACUGAGGAUGCCGUGCGCCGCUACCUGACACGGAAGCCGAUGACCACUAAGGACCUGCUGAAAAAGUUCCAGACCAAGAAGACAGGGCUGAGCAGCGAGCAGACAGUGAACGUGCUGGCCCAGAUCCUCAAGCGACUCAACCCCGAGCGCAAGAUGAUCAACGACAAAAUGCACUUCUCCCUCAAGGAGUGAGGCUUGGUCCAAUACACGGCUCUGCCCCCCAGAACUUCAGGCUCUCACUGCCCCUUCGCCAUCC